rnacentral:tRNA from 1 species
GCCUGGCUGGCUCAGUUGGUAGAGCAUGCGAUUCUUGAUCUCAGCAUUAUAAGUUUGAGCCUCAUGUUGGGUG